rnacentral:lncRNA from 1 species
UCCAGAAAUAUGACUCUCCCAGACCAAGUUCCCUAUUAUUUCAAAAUCCAAUGUCCACUAAACAAUAUGGGGUUCCGGUGGCUCCAGAUCAAACCAAACUAAUGCACAUCCUCGCAUGCAAUAGCCAGCUCCAUGUAAGGUAGCUUAGCUGGAGCUUUUAUAAAAAAUUUUGGAUUCGACUUUUAAGAGCCUAAAGUCUUGAAGCCAAGCCACGCCAAAGAUUUGCCAUUAGGCUGUGCUUGUAAUACCUGUAUGAAUUCCUCUCUUCUCAAGGUCCCAAAAUAUCUUGAGGUUCUUGGACCUCUUAGAAAAUGACAUUCUUGGCUGGGCACAGUGGCUCACACCUGUAAUCC